rnacentral:lncRNA from 1 species
GAACAGGGAUCUGCUCAUCAGUGUGGGGACCUCCAAGUCGGCCACCCUGGAGGCAAGCCCCCACAGAGCCCAUGCAAGGUGGCAGCAGCAGAAGAAGGGAAUUGUCCCUGUCCUUGGCACAUUCCUCACCGACCUGGUGAUGCUGGACACUGCGAUGAAUGGUAAUGUGGAUGAGAAUAUGAUGGACUCCCAGAAAAGGAGACCCAGCUGCUCAGGUGGCUGCAAAUCAUUACAGCCUUCAUCCUGGGGAGGAACUGGGGGCCUGGUUCUGGGUCAGAGAGCAGCCCAGUGAGGGUGAGAGCUACAGCCUGUCCUGCCAGCUGGAUCCCCAGUCCCGGUCAACCAGUAA